rnacentral:rRNA from 1 species
AACACCGACAAGUUGAACGCAUAUUGCACAUCGUACUACAGUACGAUGUACACAUUUUUGAGUGCCUAUAUUUAUCGAUUCAACUAUACGUGCGCUCCUUCGAACCUCCAACCACACCAGGUCGGUGGGGCGGGGCGACGUAUGCGUAGUGAUGUUUUCCCGCCUUCGGUGCGCGGCAAAACAUUGAAAAUAGUCAGACGUGGUGGCCCGCCACCGCGGUUGAUGAAUACAUCCCAGGACGCUCGGUCUUGCGCGCGCGGCGCCGCGUGCAAGACUGUGCUGUGUGUAUUCCAUCCACCCAUUGACGUAUUGUGCGCGUAUAAUUAGGCCUCAAAUAAUGUGUGAC